GACGUAGGGCGCGAGCGUUGUCCGGAUUUAUUGGGCGUAAAGAGCUCGUAGGCGGCUUGUCGCGUCGUCCGUGAAAACUUGGGGCUCAACCCCAAGCUUGCGGUCGAUACGGGCAGGCUCGAGUUCGGUAGGGGAGACUGGAAUUCCUGGUGUAGCGGUGAAAUGCGCAGAUAUCAGGAGGAACACCGAUGGCGAAGGCAGCUCGCUGGGACGGUACUGACGCUGAGGCGCGAAAGCGUGGGAAGCAAACAGG
rnacentral:rRNA from 1 species